GAGAGAGAGAGAGAGAGAGGGCGUACCUGUUCUGUCUCUGUCGCGAGCGUGAGGUCAAGGAAAAGAGCGGCUCCUGCUGUCUUCGUGGUGCGGCUCUUUUGUUGGCAUCAGCUAUUUAAUAGUUGAGAUAUGCUUGCAAGGAUGUCGCCGAUAGAGAGUUGCAAACACUCAAUCUCUUGCUCAUUAAAGUAUUUGUUCCUCGAUUCUGAAAUUUUGGCUUUGAGGAUUGAGUUGCAGCUCCAUUCCACAGCGAAGGAUAGUAGGUAGAGUGAGAGAAUGAAUAAGUGCUUCAAAGAAGAGCACAAGAAGUGUAGGUAUCAAAUGAGGAACAAGAGGACAUGUUGUGGAAUUCGGGACACGGGGAAACAAGGUAUACAAGGCUGUAACGACGUAAAAUUGGAAUUGAUGACUUUGAACAAUUAACUGUGAUUGGUAAAGGUGCAUUUUGGUAAGGUAAAAGAAAGCAUCACUAUCAUAUAGCAAUUUCCAAUAUUUUUUUGUAUGUUUCAUAGAUCAAUAGAAUUUCACUGUUGAACCCAUCUUGCUCUUAUGGUGAUAUUGUUUUCAAAGUUUCAUUCUUGAUUCAUUUAGAAACUUUGAUUGAUUGUUCUUUAUUGGAUUGGUGGAAAUUUUGUGGAUUUCCUUUCUAGGUAUCCUGAAUUUGGUUGGGUUUUCUGAUAUUUUGUAAGAGUUAAGGGUGCUUUUUGGUGUGGUUGAUUGUAGAUUUGAUGUGUUGUUUUAAAUUAGUUCACCAUAAGGGGAUUUGUUUGGUAAAAAUGUAGAAUCAAGGGAAGAAUUAUUUGAUAAGAGGAUGAGAUUUGUUGGAUUAAUCAUUGUAAUUACAGGACAUUUGUCAUUGGUGAAGAUGUGGUUUAGAUGCUUCUGACACAUGCUUAAUUUUCAGAUGAUUGUUAUUUGUUACUUCUUUCCCUUCUUAGUAUACAUUAAUGCUUAAAAUUUUGAGUUAUGUCCAUGAUAAAUGCUAUUUUUUCUUAGAAUAAUUUUGAAGAGCUAUUUAUGUUGGUCCAAAAUCUUUUCAUUAUCCAAUUGUUAAAAUUCAGUCUCUUUUUUAUUAAAUUAAUAGCCCUAAUUGAUAAGAGAGUUGGCUACUUCGGUGUGGGUAUCUCCUGUCAUCUUACAUUGGCCCUCCCAAACAAGAAGGAAUAUGAAACAAAAUUGGGAUAAAAUCUGGUUAUGAGGACAUAUAAAUAGAGGACAAAAGCAAGGCUUCAUGAGAGGCAAAGGCCAAAGCCAUAGAGGCCAUCUCUAAAAGUAUUAGAAUGAAUGUGUGGGCAGAUGAUUAUGUCUAAUGUUAAUGUUAUGUGGGUUAAUUUUAUGCUUUAUAAGGAUAUGAUUGAAAAUCUGGUAUUUAUUUGCA